rnacentral:rRNA from 1 species
CACAAUGGGCGGAAGCCUGAUGCAGCGACUCCUCGUGGGGGAUGACGGCCUACGGGUUGUAAACAACUUUCGCCCGGGACGAAGCGAGAGUGACGGUACCGGGAGAAGAAGCACCGGCCUACUACGUGCCAGCAGCCGCGGUAAUACGUAGGGUGCAAGCGUUGUCCGGAAUUAUUGGGCGUAAAUAGACUGUAGGCGGUGUGUCGCGUCUGCCGUGAAAACCUGCGGCUUAACCGUGGGCGUGCGGUGGAUACGGGCACACUUGAGUUCGGUAGGGGAGACUGGAAUUCCUGGUGUAGCGGUGGAAUGCGCAGAUAUCAGGAGGAACACCAGUGGCGAAGGCGGGUCUCUGGGCCGAAACUGACGCUGAGGAGCGAAAGCGUGGGGAGCGAACAG